CACACAGGAGGCCCCUUUCUGUGUUAGAAGCUGCUUUUUGUUAGAAGGACCCUUGCCCUAUCUGCCUAGUUGAUUUCUUUCUCUCUCCUCUCACAGAGUGUCACAGAAAGAACUCCAAUCCAUCAAGCAAAAAGACAGAAAAGGGGAGACAAAGAAGAAAAAGGAGGGGAAAAGGUAAAAGCAAGGAAGAGAAUGAAUUGCAGCUGAGGAAGUGGAAGAGCGAGAAGCGCUUCCAGAUUCCAGGGACUUAUACCAUCAGAGUUCCUGGUUCUCAGGCCUUCGGACUCAAACCAGAGUUUACAACACUGGCUCUCCUGGGUCUCUACUUCUCAGCUUCUCCAAGUUUCUCAAACUAAAGCCCGACUUGGGAUAGGUGAUACCAGGAAACAUGAGGAAGACAAUGAGGAGAGUGACGCAGUAGAGAAGCCCAGCCAGAGAAGGAGACGGGAGCAAGAUUCCAAUCUGAACGAAGAGGCACCGCAUUCCACACCCUCAGAAGACUGGCUGGUCUUCAUUCUGUGGUAUAACUAGAAGCGGGGAAUUGAGUGGGGAGCUGGAAAUUACGCAUCUUGGAGGAAGGGCCAGUCAAAUUAGUAGGCCACGGACUCAUUGCUCAUGUAGAUUCUGGGGACGCAGUGUGGCAUAGUGGUUGAGAUGCAGGCUGUAGAGUUAGACAGACGUGGUUCAGACCGAGGUAGGUUUGAGAUCUGCUUCACCAGUGUACCUAUUGGGGAGCUUUGGACUGUAGUCAAUAGAAAACUUAACCCAGAUGAGCUUCAACAAUAAGGAAAUGUAUGGACAGCUGGAAAUUCAAGUUCGGGUAACCUUCAAGGUCAGCUUCAUCCAGUGGCUCUUUUUUUUUUUUGCCAUA